rnacentral:rRNA from 1 species
UACAGAGGGGGCGAGCGUUGUUCGGAAUUACUGGGCGUAAAGGGCUCGUAGGCGGCCAACUAAGUCAUACGUGAAAUCCCUCAGCUUAACUGGGGAACUGCGUGUGAUACUGGAUGGCUUGGAUUUGGGAGAGGGAUGCGGAAUUCCAGGUGUAGCGGUGAAAUGCGCAGAUAUCAGGAGGAACACCGGUGGCGAAGGCGGGUCUCUGGGCCGAUACUGACGCUGAGGAGCGAAAGCGUGGGGAGCGAACAGG